rnacentral:rRNA from 1 species
UACGUAGGGUGCGAGCGUUGUCCGGAAUUAUUGGGCGUAAAGGGCUCGUAGGCGGUCUGUCGCGUCGAAAGUGAAAACCCAGGGCUUAACCCUGGGCCUGCUUCCGAUACGGGCAGACUGGAGGUAUGCAGGGGAGAACGGAAUUCCUGGUGUAGCGGUGAAAUGCGCAGAUAUCAGGAGGAACACCGGUGGCGAAGGCGGUUCUCUGGGCAUGUCCUGACGCUGAGGAGCGAAAGUGUGGGGAGCGAACAGG